UGGACUAUGGUGUAACGGUAGCACAGCAGAUUUUGGUUCUGCUAGUCCCAGUUCGAAUCUGGGUAGUCCAA
rnacentral:tRNA from 1 species